rnacentral:rRNA from 1 species
UGGUGGGGUAAGAGCCUACCAAGGCGUCGAUCGGUAGCUGGUCUGAGAGGAUGAGCAGCCACACUGGGACUGAGACACGGCCCAGACUCCUACGGGAGGCAGCAGUGGGGAAUUUUCCGCAAUGGGCGAAAGCCUGACGGAGCAACGCCGCGUGUGGGAAGAAGGCUUUUGGGCUGUCAACCACUUUUCUCAAGGAAGAAGUUCUGACGGUACUUGAGGAAUCAGCCUCGGCUAACUCCGUGCCAGCAGCCGCGGUAAUACGGAGGAGGCAAGCGUUAUCCGGAAUUAUUGGGCGUAAAGCGUCCGCAGGGGGCGCAUCAAGUCUGCUGUUAAAGGUCGGAGCUUAACUCCGGAUCGGCAGUGGAAACUGGUGCGCUAGAGGGCGACAGGGGUAGAGGGAAUUCCCAGUGUAGCGGUGAAAUGCGUAGAGAUUGGGAAGAACACCGGUGGCGAAAGCGCUCUACUGGGUCGCACCUGACCCUCAGGGACGAAAGCUAAGGUAGCGAAAGGGAUUAGAUACCCCUGUAGUCUUAGCCGUAAACGAUGGAUACUAGGCGUGGUUUGUAUCGACCCAAGCCGUGCCGAAGCUAACGCGUUAAGUAUCCCGCCUGGGGAGUACGCACGCAAGUGUGAAACUCAAAGGAAUUGACGGGGGCCCGCACAAGCGGUGGAGGAUGUGGUUUAAUUCGAUGCAACGCGAAGAACCUUACCAGGGCUUGACAUCCCGCGAAGUCUGGGGAAACUCGGAUGUGCCUUCGGGAACGCGGAGACAGGUGGUGCAUGGCUGUCGUCAGCUCGUGUCGUGAGAUGUUGGGUUAAGUCCCGCAACGAGCGCAACCCUCGUCCUUAGUUGCCAGCAUUAAGUUGGGCACUCUAGGGAGACUGCCGGUGACAAACCGGAGGAAGGUGAGGAUGACGUCAAGUCAGCAUGCCCCUUAUGCUCUGGGCGACACACGUCCUACAAUGGUCGGGACAAAGGGGAGCGAGCUCGCGAGAGUAAGCGAAUCCCAUCAAACUCGGCCUCAGUUCAGAUUGCAGGCUGCAACUCGCCUGCAUGAAGGAGGAAU